rnacentral:rRNA from 1 species
ACAAGAACGACUCUCGACAACGGAUAUCUCGGCUCUCGCAUCGAUGAAGAACGUAGCGAAAUGCGAUACUUGGUGUGAAUUGCAGAAUCCCGUGAACCAUCGAGUCUUUGAACGCAAGUUGCGCCCGAAGCCGUUAGGUUGAGGGCACGUCUGCCUGGGUGUCACAC